rnacentral:lncRNA from 1 species
UAAUCUAUAAAUGUCGUCACUCAUCUAUGUCCAUCUCAAAUGACCUCUCACCACCUCUCAAGCCUCCAAUGGCCUCUCUCAUGUUAUUCUUUCCAUCUCCAAGGCCCUUAAGGGACCAGGUCUAGUAAGUUGAAUCUAUGGUCUUCUCUCGCCUAUUUCACACCACUCCUGUGAGAUUUCGAGUAAGAUCAUCUUAUAUUAGCUACGAUCUAUGUUCUCAUUAUGCUUCUUCAUCUCUGUAUGGUUCUCUAGGGAACCCUAAUUUCUUUUCUAAACCUCCUAGAUCUGUACAGAUUUGAGUUUAUUUCCUGUGAGUUUUACAACAGCCUUGAGAUUCUUUACAAGAAUCGAGUGAUUUUCAUCUUUUUCUAAAACUAGGGUUUUCAGAAUUUCUUUUUAAAAUUUGUUUGGUGAUUCUUUGUGUUUAAAAUUAUACUUAUCAUAUAUUUUAACUAAUGUUUAUA